UUUAAAGAGAGUUUGAUCCUGGCUCAGGACGAACGCUGGCGGCGUGCCUAAUACAUGCAAGUCGAACGAACGGAGGAAGAGCUUGCUCUUCCAAAGUUAGUGGCGGACGGGUGAGUAACACGUGGGCAACCUGCCUGUAAGUUGGGGAUAACUCCGGGAAACCGGGACUAAUACCGAAUGAUAAAGUGUGGCG
rnacentral:rRNA from 1 species